ACUAUAAAUGGCUGCACAAAUAAUUUGGAACUGAGAACCAUUCACAUAAAGAGAAGCUGACUGGAGGUAUAUGUGAGAAAAGUUGGCCUGAGAGGAAGCAAUGAACUAGAUGGGCAAAAGUUGAAAAAGGACAUUGAGAAUAAAGGAGUUGGAAUCUACUAAAUAUGGAGGCAUCUACUGGCUGAAUCUAGGAAUGGAGAAAAGCUGAACAAAGAGCUGGGAAUUGAUAGCUCAGGCUGGCAGAGAAAGGAAAGCACAGUGUGGGCCAGCAGUGCCAAACAUCAUCAGUACCAAGCAGAGAAGUCCUGAGUUUCUAGCUCAGCAAGAAGGAAGCUUAAUUGUGUCAGUGUUGGGUGCUCUGGUCUUCUGAGAGCUGCCUUCAACAGCUUCCAUCCUGAAACUUCAAUAUGGAUGCAGAUGGAGUUAUCCAAGUCUGAUUUAGUGAGUACUACAGUAUUUCCUACUGGAAGUAAAUCCUUCCAGUACAAUUUUAGAAACAAAAUGUCUUCUUAAUUUGACUCAUCCUAACCCCAAGUGAAUGAAAAAUGAUCCUCAAAUUAACAUGAUCCUCAAAGCAUAGUAACUAAAAGUUGGAUUACAAGAUUUUUAGAAGCAUGAAAGAUAAUUCUCUGCUAAUUUUUGGCACUGACUGAUGUAUUUAUCAAGUUCAUGAACCGGGAAUAAGAAUUGGGAAGUAGUACUUCGGGAUGUUUUUUAACCAGGAGCUUUUUUCUUGUUUGGCUCCAAAGAGACACUGUAGGCCAUGAUGCCACCAGAUUUUCACUUCCACAGUGAGAUUGUUAGUGCAGAUAACACUGACUGUGUUUAGAUAUAAUUUUGAGAACUCCGGUCUGUAAGAAGCUCAUCACUUUCAACAAUUUCUGAUUUCAGUGAGGAGCAAGCUCUGAAAAAUUUCAGGUUAUUUAGUGAUAUUUGGCAUGUUGUACUGCAUUUCAAUAUUGCUAAAAAAAAACCCCUUCUCUUCAUUCUUGACUGCUUCAUUUCACCUCAUCUAUUUUGGGAAAGUCCUGAUUUUUGAGUGAUUGAAACAGUUGAGAUAUGUUAAAUAGUGUUAAAACUUAAAAUGCUAAUUUUCUUACUGUUGCUUGAAUUUAGAUUUAAUUUCUGUGCUUAGAUGUACUGGGUAAAUUUACCAUGAUGUUUCAGGUAUUGAAUUAUCAUUUAUUUUGUAUUUUGAGUGUUAUCUUUACAGUGCAGUUGUUAUUAGUUACUAUAAAUUGUUUUACAGUAGGGCUUAAAAUCCACAGUUAAAAUCUUGAAACUCUUUUGUACUGGAAUUUUGCAAAAACAUGAUUAAACACAACUUAUUUCCAAGAAAGAUUAAUGAGUGAGAAUCAAGGCAUCACUGUGGGGGAAAGGAAGACAAAAGAACGGGAGCAGGAAAAUAAGUAAAACUGCACAAGAACAUGGUUAAUUGAUACAUUCUAAAUGGGAUGGGGAUAUAAAUGCAAUUCUUGGUAUACAGGACCAGAAAAUGUUCAACUGGCAGGGUUUUUGCACAGGAAAAAAUAGUGAGAAAUAUAUACAUAUAUGUAUUUUAAAAUUUCCUUCAGUACUGCAGUCUCUUUCACAGUAAUGUAUUUCACCUCUUAACAUUUGUUACUGAGUUUGACACCAUUGAGGAUGUUUCCUGUUAAAUUAAAAAGUAGCUACAGAUGGAUAAGGCCGUACAACCCAGUGCAUCUUUUGUUCAGACACCACACAGGAGCUGUAUCUGCAGAACUGAAUGCGUGACAUGUGCUUGUGAAGUAAUCAUUUAUUAUGCAAACAUCAAAACUUCAUUAUAUCUAAAUUUAUUAAAUAUGUACAUGUUAUUACUAUUUAAAAGAAUGAGUAUCAUUCCAAGAUCUGCAAACUUCUCUCUAGCUCUGAGAGCUGCGGCAGAGCCUGUAUUAAUGCUAGUUUAAAAGCUGGAAGCUAACGCGGUGUCACUGUGAGUGACACAGCACCACCUGUGGAGGCAAAACUUCAUUGGCUGUAUUCUUUAGUUACAAUACAAUCAAAAAAAAAAAAAAGAAAAAAAAAAGAAAAAAAAA